CAGUACCAAUAUAAAUAUUAAUUCAGAAACCAAAAAGUAAUUACUAUAGACAGUAAGAUGUCAAAAAACAAAAAAUAAAAAAUAAAAUAAGAAAAAAGGGUCCACACUCCAUAGCAUUUACAAAGCUUUUGGGAGACCUGCAAUUUUGCUACUGCUUCACCUUCGUUGAGUAGCAACUUCAGAAAGAGCCAAAAUGGAAAGUAGAACACAUCACUUUCAAUAUUCUUCUUCCCCUUCAUGGCUCAAGGCCAUAUCAUACGCACCAUAGACAUGGUCAAGCUAUUCGCUUCUCGAGGUUUGAAAGCAACCAUUACUACCACUCCUUGCCAUGUCCCUCUUUUCUCCAAAACAUCGGCGUUUAAGAUUCUUUCAUCAAUGUUUUAACGUUCGAAUUUCCAUGCGUGGAGAACGGAUUGCAUGCGAGAGCGUUCACAUAGCCUCUUCCCCUGAUCUGCAAUCCAAAUUCUACAAGGCUACUGCCAUGCUUGCUCCACAACUUGAACGGCUUCUACAACAACACCGUCCCGACUGCCUUGUGGCCGACAUUCUCUUUCCUUAGGAUACCCACGUUGCGGCUCGACAUGGGAUUCCUGGGUGAUAACAUCACGUUCACAAAAACCCAAUCACCAGAAAUUCUUAGAGAGGACAAUGAGGAAUCGGAAUUGUUAAAACUCUACAACGAAAUUCCAGAAGUGGUGAAGAGAAGCUAAGGAAUUCUGAUUAACAGCUUCUACGUGCUCGAACCGGUUUAUGCUGAUCAUUACAGGGAGGAAUUGGGAAUUAAGGCAUGGCACAUCGGGCCUCUGUUAUUAUGCAAUAACCUUGCCGGAGCAAACGGGGGAAUAGAACCCUCCAUUGAUGUACAAGAAUUCAUGAAUUGGCUUGAUUUGAAGAAACCCAAUUUAAGUUGUUUAUGUUUGUUUUGGAAGUUUGGCAGAUUUUGACGAUGCUUAGCUAUUGGAGAUUGCAUUUAGUCCUGAAGCUUCAGGGCAGGAAUUCAUUUGGGUUGUGAAGAAAGAAGAGCAAGGAGGUGUUAAAGCAGACUGGUUGCCUGAAUGAAGGAAAGGGACUGAUCAUAAGAGGUUGGGCACUUGCGCAGGGUUGCCAAUGGUCACAUGGCCAGUCUGGGCUGAGCAAUUUUACAAUGAGAAGCUGAUCACUCAAAAUACUUGGAAUGGGGUUCGGUGUCGGUAACCAGCGGAAGAGUAUAAUUAUGGGGGACUUGUGAAGAGGGAAGCCAUAGAGAAAGCUGUGAGGCCAUUUAUGGAGAGUGAGGAAGCAGAGCCAGAGUUCUUGGGGAAAUGGCAAGAAAGGCUGUCGAAGAAGGUGGGUCUUCAGAAUGACUUGAGCGCCUUAAUUGAAGAAUUGAAACUACGUAGGAUGGUCCGUCAUUCAAGUUAGAAGAGUUCUGUUAUUUUAUUGACUAGGCUUGCUUUUCUAUAUAUAUAUUGUUUCGUUCUGAGUUUUACAAGUCAAUUCCACUGAAAAGGUCGUUUUAACAAUGUCAUGAAAUGAUUGUGGGUUGAAGAAGGUCUUUGGUGACUUUUCUAAUA